UCAUACCACCCUGAAUGCACCUGAUCUUGUCUGAUCUCAGAAGUUAACAGGGUCGGGCCUGGUGAGUACUUGGAUGGGAGAACAAACUGAAGGUUGCUGGAGG
rnacentral:rRNA from 1 species